rnacentral:rRNA from 1 species
CCUACGGGAGGCAGCAGUGAGGAAUAUUGGUCAAUGGCCGUAAGGCUGAACCAGCCAAGUCGCGUGAAGGAAGAAGGAUCUAUGGUUUGUAAACUUCUUUUAUAGGGGAAUAAAGGGAGACACGUGUGGAUAUUUGCAUGUACCCUAUGAAUAAGCAUCGGCUAACGCCGUGCCAGCAGCCGCGGUAAUACGGAGGAUCCGAGCGUUAUCCGGAUUUAUUGGGUUUAAAGGGAGCGUAGGUGGAUUGUUAAGUCAGUUGUGAAAGUUUGCGGCUCAACCGUAAAAUUGCAGUUGAAACUGGCAGUCUUGAGUACAGUAGAGGUAGGCGGAAUUCGUUGUGUAGCGGUGACAUGCUUAGAUAUCCCGAAGAACUCCGAUUGCGAAGGCAGCUUACUGGACUGCAACUGACACUGAUGCUCGAAAGUGUGGGUAUCAAACAGGAUUAGAUACCCCAGUAGUC